rnacentral:rRNA from 1 species
UACGAGUGCCUCAAGCGUUAUCCGGAAUUAUUGGGCGUAAAGGGUGUGUAGGCGGUUAUAUUAGUCUUGUGUUAAAUCCUUCGGCUCAACUGAAGAGAUGCAUGGGAAACGGUAUAACUCGAGGAUGCGAGAGGUGAAUAGAACUCAUGGUGUAGGGGUGAAAUCCGUUGAUAUCAUGGGGAAUACCAAAUGCGAAGGCAAUUCACUGGCGCACUCCUGACGCUGAAACACGAAAGCGUAGGUAGCGAAUGGG